GGACCUCUUUUUGGGCAGAAGCUUUUCUCCUGCUCUUGUCUUGCACAGCUCGGGAAAGAGGAAAGGUUCCCAUUGCUAAGCCAGGUCCAGGCCAGUUUUGACUCUUUAGCUACAAGGAGCCAAGAAGUACCACCACCACCACCCUCAGUUAUCACUCUUCUUGCUGUGAGCAGUGAUCAAGUCCUGACCAAGGCAGAGAGAUGGAAGAUGCCCCUGAUGUGGUUGUUCCCUUGGCCACAAACAUCUGGCAGCGCUGCACCUGGCUCAUAGCCACCUCCCUGGGCAAGACACCACGUCCUGUGCCACCCUCCUUCCCCGCCCGCAGGGUGCAGGUGAACACAGGCACCCCAUCGCAGAGCUCCCAUUUGCCACGGCAGUGACAAGAAGAGCAUCCUGUCCUGGAGAUGUACUGCUUGGUUAUUGCCAGCUUUGGAAGAAGCACUCGGCAAGCUGUGAAACCAAGCAAGAAAUCCCAGUGUACACAACGCUGGGGGGACGAGGGGAGGAGUGAGCUUAAUGGCCUGCAUGAAUUGCCAAGCAAACCCUCUGCAGACUUCAGCAUCUUCAGUGCCACAUCCUCAUUCUGACACAGAAGCGACAUUUAUAGGUCGUAACUCUGAGGAGCAGUUGGUCUCUCUGGCACUAUUACACUUAAAUGUGAAGGGCUUCAUCUGCUGACUAUCACUGUGGAACAGGCAAGUUGAGCAGUUAAAGGAGCAGUUCAGGGAGAUCCCCCAGGGAUGCAGCGAGCAAAAGAGAAUAAUCAGGCAUUUUCACAACUUGCCCCUGCAGUGUAUUACAUUCUGGCGACUAAGCUGCUUUUAGCUUUCCCAGUUUACUUUCAAUCACGCCUAUCGAAUACACCGCUCGUAUUCCCAUCGCAUUUACACUUAUAAUUGGCUAUCUGUGCAUGGGGAGCGUGCAGUGCAGAUGUGGGGUGUGCACACAGCCGGCCCUGCCCCGCACAGCCCUGCCCUCACACAUACGCUCCGAAAAGAAACAGUCGGAGAUUGAAUUAGCUCAGAAAUGGAGCAUCUGCACAGCCAAUAAUUUCAUUACAGGGGAAAGCAGGAAACUGUGUUUCCCAAUGAAGCUCGGAUUAUGAAUCCGGUCAUUUGCAUUGGAAUUUUAAUGGGAUCGUACAAGAAAGGGCUGGAGCGCAUCAGUUCUCCUUCACGUGUGGGUUAACGCAGGGAGAUGCUGGGCAGGGCAGGAGGUGGGGGUUGCUGGCAGGAGCACAUCCCCAGUCCUGCAGGUGGACCACCUAUACCUGCACCCCAUCGUGUCCAUCUCUCCAUGGAGUGACUAAUUCCAGCGAGGGAGCAGGUUGCUGUUUUACUCAUCUGAUCUCAGUGCUGAUGUGUGGAGGCUGGAAAUCUUUGCUCUGGGUGGGGGGGGGGCGUGAUGGCAGCCAGCACUUGGAGCAGUGCCCUUUGCUUCCGAGCAGAGCUCUGAGGUGCAUCCAUAUGCCAGGAAGGGGCAUCCCAUGAGUGGGUCAUGCCCGAAUACUGCAUAACUCCGGAGAGAGGACCCGGAGCUCCCAGUCCUAUGUGCACAGCGAUGUGAAAGUCCUACUUUUGCCAAUCGUUUUCCCCUUUCAUGAACCCAAACUGGGGUAUGCAGGAGCCAUCACCAGCUGUUGCAAUAGUUCUUUGCUUUGGGUGAUGCUUUUCCCGUGGGCUCUGGGCUUCAUUGCAGCCCCAAUAGCUGCAGCAGAAAUCCUCUUCGGUGCCGCGCAGAGCAAGACUACAUCUCCCAUCAGCCCCAGACGGAACAGGAGGAGACCUGAGGGUGGGUUUGUUUCUCUUCCUAACAAACAGCACUUGGAGAUCCGACCUCUGAUUGGCAGAACACCCCUUUUGUUUUCACUAGCUCUGAAAAAGUUCACAGGCAUGCAAGAAAGUGUGCGUUUCAUCAGGUGCGCAAGAGAUUUUGUUAAGGAGACACAUGCACACACAGACCAGGCACUCUGACUCACACCCAGCCGGCCGAGGCUCUUCCUGCAGGGUGAAUAUGAAAUAUUAAAAGUGCUAUGUCCUUUCCUUCACAUAUUUCUUCAUAUUCGCUCUGGCCACUCCAUUGAUAUGUAAAUAAACGGUACCACCGCUCUACAGAAUGCAGAUACUCUGCAUUAUUUAAGCCGUGAAGACGAUGCAUCAUCUGUUAUGUGGCUCAUUGGGGGAGCCCUGCUGUGUAUUUGGCAAUAAAGCCUCAGAGCGCCUCAUCAGAAACAGCAGUUGGUCCAGGGGAAGUUCAUUUAUGCAUGAAAUAUUCACAGAGCAACAAUGCAAACCUUAAACAUCAGUAAUUGUUAGAUUUCUAUUGCCUCUAACUAGUGUCUCUAAAUUAUUGCAAAAGACCAGCCAAUUUGCAAAUUACAUAUAUUUGUCAUGCUCUUGUACCUUUAGUGAACAGACCAUAAUGGUGAUAGCAUUUUUAAUGUACACAGUCACUGAGCCUCCUUUGGAGAGCUAGCCAAAGAUUGGCUCCUUAAUGGAAGGAGCUGGCCAGCUUUCUGCAGACACUCACCGCUAUGUUCACUGACUCAUUGCCCAGGGUUUUUCCCCCAAAUGUUUAUCUCCAGCUUAUAGUUUAAGAAGAAUCUUCAUCCAAGAUGUCCACCUUUGCGUGCCUCAGAGAAAUGAUGCCUGAUCAUGGUUCCAGCAUAAUGCCGGGCCAUGGCAGCAACAAGCCCACUUCAGGCUUUGGCAUAGGCACUGCUAUUGUCUUCAUUCAACAAUUUUGGGUUCAUUAUCAGCCUUUCCUGCAACCCAAAAUAACAACUGAGAGAUCAAAGUGUCAAUUAACACUCAGCAGAUUAAUUUCUUGGUGGUCAGCGGUCCCUACAAGAAGCAGAGAAGGAAAGGGCACUCUCACUGCCUUUCUACUUUCUGGUUAAUAUUUAACAGAAACCUUUUUAUGUGGUCUUCUAUUUAAUACAGGAAUAAAAUAUAGCAUCCCCUUUGAAAAAUCUCUUUUUCUUCACAGAGAAAAGGGCACAUUUCCACAGUGGACAGCACACUGCUUUAUCUUUCGCACUGUGCUUCUCUCCAGGAGCAUAAUCUCCAUCAGCCAUUACAACACGACCUCCUUUCCCCAGUAGUGUUGGCCCUUCAGGAGAACUCAGUGGCUUUGCAAAGAGUGGGAGCAAUCUCCAGGUGGGGUUCAUAGAAAUACAGAAUCAUUAAGAUUGAAAAAGACCUCUAAGAUCCUCAAGUCCAACCCCAACCCAUCCCACCAUGCCCACUGA
rnacentral:lncRNA from 1 species